UAACUCUCAGGGUGUUUUUCUUUGUAUCUUCUCCUAUUUUUCUAGUUGUAAUGAUUCUAACGCUGUAGAACUAAUGGCAAUUGAGAAAGCAUCGUUUAUUCUUGCAGCUAGACCUGAUAUUUGGAGCUCGGUCAGUGGGAUCAUUGUUGAAUCAGACUCUACGAUUGCUGUUUCAUGGGUUCACUCUUUGGAUUUAGUGCCAUGGCGCCUAUAUUCUGUUUCUAAUUCUAUUGCUACCUGUUUGAGUCUGUUUCCAGUUGUUUCUUUUAAUCAUAUUCGUCGCGAAGCAAAUGGGGUACUGACUCUCUAGCGAAGCAAGGUAUUAGAUGCACAAAUGAUUUAAUUGCCUGGUUGUAAUGCGUUUGAUUAGCUCUUGUCGGAUGCUUCUGCCCUUUAUUUCUGAUGUGGUUGAACUGGUUUGGGUGUUUGUUUUGCUGGUUUUGGGAAUGAUGUCACUAUGCUUAGUUUGAUGACAAGAAUCUCGUUUUAUUAGGUGUGCUUCUUCUUUUACAGUGGGAGAAUUUUGUAUAAG
rnacentral:misc_RNA from 1 species